AGGGAUCCGGCGGCAGGGGGGGGGGGGCAGCGCCCAGAUCCGCGGCCGCACCGGCAGGCCGCCGUCCCUCGAGAUCGUGCAUGGAGGUCCGACCCGGCUGCAGCCAUGGACUGAGACGCCCGAAACCCUAGCUACCCGUGGAGGUCCGACGCCUACCUCCAAGGAAAGGACGCGCGCCAGCUGCAGGCCAUCUCCGGCGACCUCCGACCAUGGUUGCUCGGAUCUGGACCAGCUGCUGCUCCUACUGCUUCAGGUGGACGAGGACGAGCCCUCCCUCAUGGAUGUUGCGGCUGCCUACUCCCUCCUCCUACCCCCUGGCCUGGUGUGAACGGUCGUUGAAGCGAAAUUCAUGUUCAUAGAUCAGGGAAUGAAUUUGAUGUGUCACGCCUGACAAAAGCCCAAGAUUACAGAUUCUUUGUGUCGACGUGGAAUGUUGGUGGCCAAUGCCCAUCAAGGGGGUUAAUUUAGAUGACUGACUCCAUUCUUCACCCCCUGCUGAUAUCUAUGUGCUCGGAUAUCACUUAUUACGAGGACACUAAACAAGAACGCUGGGUCUAGCAUUCAUGCUGGCUAUCACACGCCAUUCCCUGUCCCUGAUCCGGUUGUGGAACUAGAUGCUGAUUUUAAGGUAUCAUUGAGAAGACAUGAUAGCUCAUCACUUUCCACCACUAUCAUUCCGAAACCUUAGUCGGAGUUUAAGGGUUUCAGGAAAUGAUAUGUUCUCACAACCAAUAUUGGCCCGUAGGUUUAGUGUGUGCGACCCUGUUAACAUAGGAGUCAGGCCGAGCGAUUUUGAUAGAAAUUUCAAGUGUAUCGGAUCACCAGUCGAUGAGUAUAUUGAGGAGGAUACAAGUAAUGGAGCAUAUUUUUCACCAUUCCCAUAUGGCUAUGGUACUUAAACACCAAUGGAAGGAGAUGAAGAGCAGCCAAAUACUUCUAGGUGUCCAGGUAUUGUUUGGUUGCCAGCAAACAGAUGGUUGGCAGAUUUCUCACAGUUUGGGUAACAGCAGGUAUGGCAUGGGAUUCAUUGUUCUGGUUAGAUGAGAUAUAUCAUCUGGUAAAUCAUUGGAUACAUUUCAACGUAUUGGAUUAUUUUGUUCUGAACUCUUUAGUCAGGUACCUUCCUUCUCUCAACACAACUUCAGCAACAUGUUUUAUAUAUUACAACUUCCAAGUUAAUAGUAGAGAUUUAAUCUCAAUACUUGCUUGCUUGGUGUAAGAAUGUAGAAGUAUGUUUUACUUUAGCUCCUAGCUGAAGACUACGGUUGGGUGUUCCAAUAACUUAUUUUUGGCAUGGUCUUCUUUGCUACCUCUGCAUGUGCAAUCCUCAUUAUUUGUUGCUUGAUUCUCUAUGCAAGAAUCUUGGCUCAUGAUCGAACAUAUAUGGUCACAUAUUUGCUCCAGGGAUUUAUUUUUGUCAGAGCCGAUCGACAAAUGAUCAGCCUGAAAGUAUAAUUUUCUAGCUUAAUACAUGUCAUGCAAGUAUGGUUUCCUUAAUGUGACUGGUAAUGUAAAUUUUGUGGGUCUCUCAGUUCCUAUGAGCCUAAUAUAGUUAAUUCGAAAUCAUGAUUCUGAUGGAAAUGCCAAAGAAACAGAACCUGAAUUAGUAGUUAAUUGGAUAGCAUGAUUCCGAUGGAAAUGCAAAAGAAACAGAACCAACAAUAGUAGUCUACCUUAAAGCUCGAAGAAUUCAUGAGAAAUUCUUGCUAGCAUCUAGAAUUGGAUGCCCUCAGGAAGACUAUUGUAAGUCAAUUUUCAUGACUGAUUUGCUCAUUUCCUCUAGCUGCACAAUAUGACAUAUUGCUUCUUAAUUCAACACUUACUGCUACUUAGUAAUAAGAGGACAUGUGGGACUUUGUUUCUCGAAUUGACACUCAAUAGUAGAAGAUGUUCAUACCUAGAAUAGUUGAUCACAAACUGCCGUAUCAUGGCUUUCUAGCUUAUAUGUUACAGAGCAAGUGAGCAGCCUCUACUCCCCCCCCCUCUAAUUAAUCUCUAUUUUGUAGCUUUGAAUAGCUAAAAAAAGUUGAUUCUGGUAUAUAUUCAUUGGCGCAAACAUUAGAAGUUCUAUGAUAUUUUUUCUUACCACAUAUAUAUGAAGGAUUGUGCAGACAACUUGCAGCGUUGGAAUCAACAUCUGGGAACAAUGCAUGGACAUUUAGAUAUAUAUUUUUAGCAUUCUUCAAGAUCUUGACUUAAUUUCUUUUUACACUGUUAAAUAAUAAAAGUAACAAAAUGUUGUACAAUAGUAGUAUCUGUUAUGUAGUCAAGUUUACUGAAAUCAAAAGAAAACCAAGAAAGGAGAGCCGAAGUUCAAGGCAUGUUCAGCUCCAUUGAUUUCCUCUCUCAAUGGAGUGUUAGUCCUCUGAAUAUUUUUAUUCCUCUGAUCUCAAACAUUGUCUACACAAGAGUCGAAGCUUUGUCUGCCACUGCUCUUCAGUUCACACCGCCGAUGUUGUGAGGACUGGCAGCUCUUCAGUUCAUGCUGCCAAUGUUGUGAGGACUGGAAGGACUUCAAUGGGCGCGGAGGCUGCAACCUAGGGCGAGGGCGUCAGUGCGUUGAGAUGGUGGGGCCACGUCAGUGGGAGGACGUGAGGCGGCGAUGUCCACCCAGAUCUAUAGCCGCAACAGAAGAACAACUCAGAGAGGACGUGCAGCUCCUGUGUGUAGUAGAUAAAUCGCCGCCCAGAUAAAUCACCGGGACACUACCAAGUGUGUCAUCAGUAGGAUAAAAAAUCUUGAGCGUGCCUCAGGUGCGACUCUAGCUAUUGAAAAUCAAAGAACCUGAAUACUUCCGGAGUUUGAUAAGGCUUUACGGUGAGUUCUCAUAGUGGUCUAUGUGCAUGAUGGGAUGCUGGUACUGCUGUUCUACUUUUACUGCUGUUGUUAUUAAGCAGAUUUUGUCAAAGCAAUUGCUAUGUGUAUUAAUUUGGAUAGGAUCAGUUAAAGUACAUCUCAUUAAACGGCGUUUUUUGUCGUGUGUUUUAACUUUUUAUUAUUAGUAGCAGUGGUUUCUAUAGCUAGCCCAAUGAUGAUCCCCACUUUAACCGACAUGAUGUCAAAGCUCAAGGCUAUCAGUGACCAUCCAUAUAGCUCAUCAAGUCAUCUUCAGAUCACUAGCCCUAAUGGUGUCAAGCUCAAGGAUAUCUAGGAGCACUCGAACCUCCUGCAUGACGAAGUCACUCGAUGAGGAUGUGCUUACCCAGGAGAAUGAACCUAUUGAUGCUCCCCUUGCAGCCGGAAGUAUCUUGAAAGCUGCGAAAACCUCAUACAUGAGCAUAUCUGCGAUGCAAGGAGCUUUUGUGGUGACUCGGAGGAGGUAGCAGGGGGAGGAAAAGAAGGGAUAGGUUCCAUUACGAUCUUCUGUUGACACAAUGGUCGUCGGUGGCGAGAACAUGAGGACCAUGGUGAGUGGCUUUGUACCAGGACUGUUUCAUGCAUUUGAUUUUGAGGUUACAAUUAACAGACAUGUAUUGACCUAUUGCGGCUAUAGAGUAUGCCUAAGCCAAUGGCCAGACAUCGGCUGUUCGGAUCCACCCUUAAGCCGAGGCACAAGUCCAUUGCGGUUGAUUAUUGUUUGGGGAUUCAGUUUCAUGCAAGGGGAUUCAUAUUGGUUGAAACCUUGAAGUUGAACAUGAAGGGCACACAUUUGAUUUCCAUUGGGUGUUGCCCUUGUUUAGCACAUUAGUAGAUGGUCUCUUACUGGAUUAUGGCAGUAGUAGUGUGGUAUUGUUGUGAAUUUUGUUUUCUUCUUUUACUAGACCAAUUGUUUCAAAGAAUUUUGAGAUGCUACAAUACUGAUAGACAUGUGGCUAUCCCUUCAUUUUAUCAAGGAUGACUAUUGUUGAUGAAAGGACAUUUACAUA